CACGUAGGGGGCGAGCGUUGUCCGGAUUCAUUGGGCGUAAAGGGCGCGCAGGCGGCCCGGAAAGUCGGAUGUGAAAACUCGAGGCUCAACCUCGAGCGUGCACCCGAUACUGCCGGGCUUGAGGCAGGUAGGGGAGAUCGGAAUUCCUGGUGUAGCGGUGAAAUGCGCAGAUAUCAGGAGGAACACCGGUGGCGAAGGCGGAUCUCUGGACAGUUCCUGACGCUGAGGCACGAAGGCCAGGGGAGCAAACGGG
rnacentral:rRNA from 1 species